rnacentral:RNase_P_RNA from 19 species
AAAAGCCCGAGGGCAACCGACGCCGCAAAGGUGAGGAAAGUCCCCCCUCCUGGAUGGAAUGCGUCCGUCGAAAGGCGGAGUCCCGAGAGGGAUGGUAAAGAGAAAAGAAAUAAACGGUCCGGGUAAAAGCAUGAUUCGAAAAGAUGACGUUCCCCGGCAGCCGAUGAGAACUCUCCCCGCAUGGAGCAAGUCUAAGAUGGGCCCGUGAACACCAUCCCGAGGCCCAGGUAAGACGCAUAGUCGAAUGUUGCCAGCCUUAAAGGUGAACAGAAGGGGGCUUACUCCGGGCAUUU